rnacentral:tRNA from 1 species
UGGUUAGCCCAGUUGGUAGAGCGCUCCACCUGUAAUGGAGAGGUCCCGGGUUCGAUACCCGGACCA